CCUACGGGUGGCAGCAGUGGGGAAUAUUGCACAAUGGGGGGAACCCUGAUGCAGCGACGCCGCGUGAGUGAAGAAUUAUUUAGGUAUGUAAAGCUCUAUCAGUAGGGAAGAAAAUGACGGUACCUGACUAAGAAGCCCCGGCUAACUAAGUGCCAGAAGCCGCGGUAAUACGUAGGGGGCAAGCGUUAUCCGGAUUUACUGGGUGUAAAGGGAGCGUAGACGGGUAUGCAAGUCUGAAGUGAAAGCACAAGGCUCAACCAUGGGAUUGCUUUUUAAACUGUAAAACUGGAGUUCAGGAGAGGUAAGCGGAAUUCCUAGUGUAGCGGUGAAAUGCGUAGAUAUUAGGAAGAACACCAGUGGCGAAGGCGGCUUACUGGACUGUAACUGACGUUGAGGAUCGAAAGCGUGGGUAGCAAACAGGAUUAGAUACCCUUGUAGUC
rnacentral:rRNA from 1 species